UACGUAGGGGGCAAGCGUUGUCCGGAAUUAUUGGGCGUAAGGCGCGCGCAGGCGGUUUUUUAAGUCUGGUGUUUAAUCCCGAGGCUCAACCUCGGUUCGCACCGGAAACUGGGAGACUGGAGUGCAGGAGAGGAAAGUGGAAUUCCACGUGUAGCGGUGAAAUGCGUAGAGAUGUGGAGGAACACCAGUGGCGAAGGCGACUUUCUGGCCUGUAACUGACGCUGAGGCGCGAAAGCGUGGGGAGCAAACAGG
rnacentral:rRNA from 1 species